UGCUGUAUGAUAUCAAAAAUGAGUUCAGCAGUUCAUACUAAAGUUUACACAACAUUUUAAACACUUAUAGUUUACAUGUAGGCAUGGCACCAGUGGUGUUUAGCAUCGACAUUUCCAACUGUAUUGCUUACACCUUCAAAAAGUGUGAAUAUUUAUAUGCAAAACUGACACUUAUUAAAAUGAAAUAGUUCCAAAUCAUCAUGUUACCUAUGUGAUAGGUCACAAUCGUGCAUUUGCUUAUUUUGUAUUUUUCUUUUUUCGUUUUGUUAUAUUUUUUCCCUUUUUUUGUAAAUAAUUAUGCUUUAACUCUAGUUUAAAUAUAAAUAACCUAAUUUGUAAAUAAUAUUCCUAUAAUCCUUAUCCUAAGAUACCAGUUACCCUUAAUAUUAAAAAAAUGAAUUAUAUAAAAAAUGAAUUUGUAAAUAGAAACAAUUUAAAUUUGAAUUUCAUACCCAUCCUACUAUACCCCUGGUAUCCCACCAUCAAAAUCCUUCCCAAACCAUAUAUGCACUGAUGCAUGGCGCCCGGUACCAACUGUGCGAAAACAAAUCCCUCCCGGGAAAUGUUCUAAGAUUUGGUUUUGCUGCAUCAUCAAGUCCUAUAAAAAGGAUAUGCAGGCCCAGGAAAGGAUCUUUUUCGGUACAAAGUUAAAAGUUAAUCGCGAGUGGAAGACACCUGUACCCCACCGCAGAUCAAAUAGGAAGUGAUAAGUGCCAAGUGUCCCACUAGAAACUCAAGGGAACCUGAGAGGACCGAACAGGACGGGUCUCGAAGACAUUCCGGAGACGCAAAGCCUCGCUGGCAUCUCGACAUCCAUCGACCGCCGGCAAGGAAGCCAAGUCACUAGCCAUUUAUUGGACCGAAACUCCCAUCAGCAACGACAAAUCGCAGGUGAAGUUGUAGUGCAUUCCUUUCAUACCUUCUUAAAUCCUUACCCUUUAAAAUAAAUCAUGUGUAAAUUAGAA